UACGAAGGGUGCAAGCGUUACUCGGAAUUACGGGGCGUAAAGCGUGUGUAGGUGGUUGUUUAAGUCUGUCGUGAAAGCCCUGGGCUCAACCUGGGAAUUGCGAUGGAUACUGGGCGACUAGAGUGUGGUAGAGGGUGGCGGAAUUCCCGGUGUAGCAGUGGAAUGCGUAGAGAUCCGGAGGAACACCAGAGGCGAAGGCGGCAACCUGGCUCGUAACUGACGCUCAUACACGACAGCAUGGGGAGCGAACGGG
rnacentral:rRNA from 1 species